rnacentral:tRNA from 1 species
GCGGGAGUGCCGGAGCGGCCAAACGGGCUACCUUGAGGGGGUAGUGGCUUAGUGCCUACGCAGGUUCGAACCCUGUCUCCCGCA